UACUAACGCUGGCGGCGUGCCUAAUACAUGCAAGUUGAGCGAUGAAGAUUGGUGCUUGCACCAAUUUGAAGAGCAGCGAACGGGUGAGUAACGCGUGGGGAAUCUGCCUUUGAGCGGGGGACAACAUUUGGAAACGAAUGCUAAUACCGCAUAACAACUUUAAACAUAAGUUUUAAGUUUGAAAGAUGCAAUUGCAUCACUCAAAGAUGAUCCCGCGUUGUAUUAGCUAGUUGGUGAGGUAAAGGCUCACCAAGGCGAUGAUACAUAGCCGACCUGAGAGGGUGAUCGGCCACAGUGGGACUGAGACACGGCCCAAACUCCUACGGGAGGCAGCAGUAGGGAAUCUUCGGCAAUGGACGAAAGUCUGACCGAGCAACGCCGCGUGAGUGAAGAAGGUUUUCGGAUCGUAAAACUCUGUUGGUAGAGAAGAACGUUGGUGAGAGUGGAAAGCUCAUCAAGUGACGGUAACUACCCAGAAAGGGACGGCUAACUACGUG
rnacentral:rRNA from 1 species